CAGUAGCCGCGGUAAAACGGAUGGUGCGAGCGUUAAUCGGAAUUACUGGGCGUAAAGCGUGCGUAGGCGGUUCGUUAAGUCUGUUGUGAAAGCCCCGGGCUCAACCUGGGAAUGGCAAUGGAUACUGGCGAGCUAGAGUGUGUCAGAGGAUGGUGGAAUUCCCGGUGUAGCGGUGAAAUGCGUAGAGAUCGGGAGGAACAUCAGUGGCGAAGGCGGCCAUCUGGGACAACACUGACGCUGAGGCACGAAAGCGUGGGGAGCAAACAGGAUUAGAUACCCCCGUAGUCCCUGUCUCUUAUAC
rnacentral:rRNA from 1 species